UUUUUUUUUAACCCUCAGGGGUUAAAUUUAUUAAAUUAAAAUUUUUAAAAUUAUAUAUUUAGCUAGCUGGGGUGGAGCUUUGUGCGGUACCGAGAAAAAAGUCCUGGCAGGACUUUGGGUGGAAGUUAGUGGGGAAUUGGGGGAUUUGGUGUUAGGCUAACUAGGGGUUAACGUUAAAUUUUUUUUAAAAUAAACUUUAAAAAGUUAAAAAUUAAGCUAAAAAAAGUUGUAAUAAAGGUUAAGUAAAAAAUAAAAAAACACCCCCCUUUACCCAGUCCAAAUAAAAAUUAACCCCUUCCCUGCCAGUCGAUCACUGCCUACAGUGAUCAAAAUACAGAUCACAGAAAAAAUGAUCCCACGCUAAGGUUCAAAAUAUGCCUUUUGAAUUAACCCAGGGUGUAUUCUUUAAUAAAUAGUUUGUGUUUGUGGGGAAGUUUCAAUAACCAACCGUCUAAACUACUCCAAAAUGGAACAUGGACACA